rnacentral:ncRNA from 2 species
CAAUUUUAGUCGGGGUGCCUUGUGGCGGUGUGAAUAUGUCGCGCUGAAAUAAGGCUGAGAUGAUACCCGUGAACCUGAUACAGUUAAUACUGACGUAGGAAACUAAUUAUGCACAAAC